UCACCGCUUAUAUAAAUUUAGAAAUUACUUUAUUAAAAAAUUCUUCAGAAAUUGAUAAUGAAAAGGCGAUUCUGCAAAGAGUAACUCGCUUUGCGCAACAUUUUAAAAAGUCCAAUGACCACGAGGCCAAACGUUUAUCCCUUUUAGGGGUCUAUCUGUAUGUUUUGCAUCUGAAAAAGUGGCCCUCCUUGAUGCCUUCUGCAAUUAGCAGUUUUGAAGAUUUAUUUUUCUCUUCAGAAGUGUCCUGGGAAGAACUUGAAAGUAAUGAUGUAAUCAUGCUAAAGUACGAACAAUUAAAAAGUAAAGCAGUGGAAUACUCGCCUUUUUAA